rnacentral:rRNA from 1 species
UACGGAGGAUCCGAGCGUUAUCCGGAAUUAUUGGGUUUAAAGGGUGCGUAGGCGGCCAUUUAAGUCAGCGGUGAAAUUUUGCAGCUUAACUGUAACAGUGCCGUUGAUACUGUUUGGCUAGGAUUUGGUUGUAGUGUGCGGAAUGUGUGGUGUAGCGGUGAAAUGCUUAGAUAUUACACAGAACACCAAUUGCGUAGGCAGCUUACUGAGCCGACACUGACGCUGAGGCACGAAAGCGUGGGGAUCAAACAGGAUUAGAUACCCGGGUA